GGGGUUGUAGCUCAGCCCGGGAGAGCAUUCCGCUGAAGACGGAAGUGUCGCUGGUUCAAAUCCGGCCAACCCCA
rnacentral:tRNA from 1 species